UUAAAAAGCAAAUCUACUGGAGGAAAGAGAAGAGCUUCUCUCUCCCUGACCCUUGGCACAGAUCCUUGGGAGGGACGGAGGAGGUCAAUACCAGAAAGGUAGCUUCAAGUCUGGAGGAUGACUUUCGGCUUCAAGGGAAGUGAGUCUUCACUCACAAAGGGGCUUAGUAGAGAUGCGGAACAAAGGUAGACCAUGUAGAACAAAGGUAGGAAAAGUAAUGAACAAACAAAAUGUCUGGAGAGUGAAGCAAGGACAGAAGGGCAAAAGGGAAGCCAGGUUAGGACCACAAAACAGAACCGGUGCUGACAAGUGUGCAGUCCCAUUUUCCCAGAGCCCUGCAGAAAGUCUGCCUUUGUGAGGUCACUGCAGAGCUCUCACUGACCGAGUCCUAGCCAGAGGAACAGAGGGACCCCACCAUCACACCAGCAGUUCACCAGGACUCAGUCACAUUCAACAUAAAAGGAGCAAAGGUUUAAAAUACAUGACCUUAUUAUGUCUGAACAACAACAAAAAUGCGUAGGAAAGGAGGGCAUUAGCAAUCAGGACAAAGUCAGCUAAGUAGACAAAUCCAGUAUUUGAAAACGAUAGGGAUUCGAAUCCCUGACUGCUCUGGAGGGAAGUUCUGGAGGGAAGUUUUAUAGUUUUCAAUCUGUAAAGUGGGGAGAAUGAUACCUAUUGUAACUUGUAUGUCAUUUAGAGGUCACUUGCCCUUGUUAUUUUCACAAGACUGCUUCGAAUCCCCAAUCGCAUGGCCUGCGAAACAUGGUUUUCCCGAUAUGCGAGCAAAUUCUUAGGAAUUUACUCUCUCCUGACCUCUUCAGGCUCUGGUCUCUAAUGCCCUGAGGUCCUUUCUCUGCUCUACCUGAAGUAAUUCCAGACCAAACUCCUGCCUCUUCACCAGCUUCCCCAAAUAGAACACUCAAACCAAGGAUUCCUGAGUUUUACUGACACCGAAUAUGUGCAGUCGUGAGCUGGGAACACAACGUAGAAUGCUGUGUCCUUAUAUAAAUACCCAUUCCACUUCCUCUCUUCCACUUUCGGAUCAUCCCCUCCUGUCCUGAACUAGCUCCAGUUUUUCUACUUCUAUGAUGUUAGUAGCUUCCCUCUCCUCUGAAGCCUGACUGGCCAACCACCAAAGCCUGGGGACAGAGACUCAGCCUCUACCCUAAGCAGUUAUCAAGAUAUUUUUCCCAAUUAAAAAAAUUAUUUUUCUUAGAAAAUUCUGGCACCAGCCGUCAAAGCUCUACCAUCUUCUCCGUUUGCUCACAUGACUGCCAAGAUUGCUAUGAGGGUAAAUGAGACAAAUAAUAUAAUAGCUCAGCAUAUGUUAUUAUAUAUAGAAUAUGCUGGCACAAUGACUUGAACACAGCAGACACUAGUGGCUGCCUUUACGAUUGUGAUGAUGCCAGAUUUAGUCCCUGAAGAGACCACACCUAUACCAGCCAGAAAGACCAAUCACUUCUAAAGGGAGGUCCUUUGACUUUGGCCAAGGUAACUGACAACCUAUAAUCAAAAGCUAAGACGGCCUCCAUCUUUCUGCAAAAACAUAAUCAUGAUAGACGAUGGCUGACUUGUCACUGCAUUCUUCUAAACACAGUCACAACAGCCAAGCAGCCAAGCAGAACACAGCACUGGUUAAGACGUUGUGAAUGCUUCCUUUGAUCGUCCCCUGUAUGAAGGAGAGAAAUCCCAAAAGUAGAAGUUUCCACCAAGCCUUCCACAAAGCUGCCACUUUAAUUUCCUUCUUCUAUUUAGAUGUAGUUCUGCUUUGUAUUAAACUCAAAAGCGAAUUUUCUCCUAUAUAGCGCUUCUUAACAGGGCAAAAAGCACUUUCCCCAUCUCAAAACACAAGACAUACAUAGAUUAUCAUGACCACGAAGCUCCUCUUCCUCCGGAAAUUCUCUUGAGCUGGCCUUCUGAUGUUCCUGCCAACAAGACGUGGUCUAGUAGGCUGCACGCUCUGGGGCUCAGCUGGUUACGAAUGCUUUUGGGCAGGAGCACAGCACAUCCAGACAGCUUGCUAGGAUCCUCAGACCCUUAAGAAGUAACCUACACCUAUGCUAGGCACUACAGAUGAUUAAACUAGACUGUAUAAAGUUUUCUAACAUUUAGGAGUCAUUUUGCCCCUAAAAGGCCAAGAAGUAGGAAAAGAGGUUCUGUGCACACAUUAGCGUAAACACGCAGAAACGCAGCUCACAGACAGGUCUGCCUCUGAAAGGCAACAAUGAAUACAAUGCUGUUGUAGACACAAACCAGCAGGGUUACAACUGCCAGCUGCUACUCCUUAAAGGGUUAAUGAACAAGAACUUGACCACCACCAAGUGAAUGAAUGUUGGUCCCAGACCCUCCGUCCAUCCCAGGAAACUUUUAGUAUUAGUCCCAGCCUAAAUGGAAUUCUAGGUUACAAUUCAUCAAAAGAAGACUGUGAGGAUGUAGGCGAUAUCAGAAAGAUCAAAUCUAGGGGUAGUAGCAAGGUAACCUGGGACUUCUAUAAAGAAGCUCAAACCAUUAGGCUUCGAAUAAGAACUAUGGGUCACUGAAAAUAGGAAGAUACGACAAAACUGUUUUAUUCCAAGCUCACUCACAAGACCCCAAAGAACUUCAAUGAAGUGGAACCAUAAGCUCUAAGGCUCUGGCCAACAGUUUUCUUAACAGAAAGACCUACAAGUUAGUUCUUUUCCUGCUGGGGCAGACCUGUGUUGCUUCAGUGCUCAGAAUGUUGCUUCGGUGAGCUCCCCAGUAACAGAGAGUCACAAAGGUCCACCAGGAAAAAAAGUUGCUACAUAGAAAGGAUACCAACAAAGGACUACACUUCCCAAUCCAGAGUAUAAAGCCAUUACCCUGAUUAUCUCUCUUAAAUGCAUAACCAGUGGCAUAUCACUCACCUUCCUCAAAGCUGGCUUUCUUCUGCCUCACUAGAACACGGAAGUUCUCAGCAGGAUUCACACUUCCGACCUAGAAUACAGGCACAGACAAUAAACCUGAAGAUCGCUUCUGUUUCUGGCAGCACCCCAGGCAACACAAGAUGGCUUAAUGUGUGGGAUAAAAGGACCGAAGCAAUCGUUACAGCCUCACAAACAUGAACUGAAACUUUUUAUUACUUGACAUCUUUCCCAUUGGCCACGUGCCUUUUUCCCUUUGAGAAGUAAAGAAAAGAAGACAAAAGGAUGGGGACGAGGAAACAUUAAAAGGGAAAAACACUAUGAUGAAAAGUACCAUGAGCAUAUCAACUACUCAUCUACUGUCUUCCAAAAACACAAAUUAACUUAGACCGUGGUGAAAAGAAGUAUGAGAUAUCCAAAGUGCUAUGCUAAGUUCUGUGAGAAUGCAAGGUUGAAUUGCAUGAAGAAUUUCUUAAACCCUCCAAAAUAAGGUUCUAGGGAAGGAAGGACAAAGCGACAUAUAUAUCAAUCCUCCAGGACUGGGCAGGUAAAGGCAAUAAGCAGAAAGUAGUAAAAAUUUGAAUACGGUUAAUAUUCUCAAGAUUGAACCAUUUAAUAGCAUUAUUAGGAAUUUUACAAAUAUUAAACUAAUCAUGUCUCUCGGUGGUGGGAAAGGGCAAAGACUCUCAUCCCAAAAUUACCUAUGAAGAAGCCGAGCUCUGGAGGACAGAAAUUAUCUACGCAAGACUCCAGCAGACAUACAAAUGUCAACAGCUACUGCAUGUGGAUAUCGGAACCAUGGAUAAUUUAUUGUACUUUCUCAUUUUCUUACUGUCUUUUGUAAAUCUGUAUACAUUUUUAAACUCAUUUUUUUGGUCAAACAUUUACCUAAUACUAUGUGCUGGCCGCUAAGCUCUAUCGUAAAUGUACAAAAAUUAGUAUGUAAUCAACACUUUAGGAAAUUCAGCCAAAUAUAAAAGAUAGAUAUGUAAACAGGCAAUUAACAAACUACUGUGGCAAGCAGCAUAUCCUCUGAGAGAAUAGCCAGUUGCUGUCCUGGGCUGAGGCAGGAGGGGCAGGCUGGGAAGUAGUGCGAUAGGAGGCCGGGAAAUACAGUAGUCCCCCCUUAUCCAUGGUUUUGCUUUACAGUUUCAGUUACCCGCCAUCAACUGUGGUUUGAAAGAAGAUGACUUAUGGUGAGAAGGUCAACAGUAGCCUAAUACUAUGUCACUAUAGCUACAUCUUUCACCUCACUUCAUCUCAUCACAUAGGCAUUUUAUCACCUCCCAUCAUCACUAGAAAGGAGAAAGUGCUAACACAGUCCCCCACUACCACAAGUUAUGCAGUUGAGUUUCCCACAUUUGGGGAAGUCGCAGGGGUCAGCACAUCCAAAAUGCAAUAGAUAAACCUCACCCUGGGAAAACCACCUUCGCGAUCAGGUAUCUCUCCUGCCAGCUCAAAGUAUUUUUAUGUUUUUCAGUAGAAGAGGAAGGUAUUAUUCUUUCAUUAAAUAAAGCAACUGAAGCCCUCAGAGGACAAAAAAUGCUUGUGGCCAAUUACACUCUUUUCACCCACUCAUUUAAAAAAUUUUUCACUCAUUAAAAAAAAAAAAAAAAAAAAAAGACUGGUUCAUCUUCCCUCUCUUACCUGAUAC